rnacentral:rRNA from 1 species
GACGAACGCUGGCGGCGUGCCUAAUACAUGCAAGUCGAGCGAAGUUUUUCUGGUGCUUGCACUAGAAAAACUUAGCGGCGAACGGGUGAGUAACACGUAAAGAACCUGCCUCAUAGACUGGGACAACUAUUGGAAACGAUAGCUAAUACCGGAUAACAGUAUUUCUCGCAUGAGAGAUAUUUAAAAGUUGGUUAUGCUAACACUAUGAGAUGGCUUUGCGGAGCAUUAGCUAGUUGGUGGGGUAAAGGCCCACCAAGGCGACGAUGCAUAGCCGACCUGAGAGGGUGAUCGGCCACACUGGGACUGAGACACGGCCCAGACUCCUACGGGAGGCAGCAGUAGGGAAUCUUCCGCAAUGGGCGAAAGCCUGACGGAGCAACGCCGCGUGAGUGAAGAAGGAUUUCGGUUCGUAAAGCUCUGUUGUUAGGGAAGAAUGGAUAUGUAGUAACUAUACAUGUAAGAGACGGUACCUAACCAGAAAGCCACGGCUAACUACGUG